rnacentral:rRNA from 1 species
GACGAACGCUGGCGGCGUGCUUAACACAUGCAAGUCGAACGGAAAGGCCCUGCUUUUGUGGGGUGCUCGAGUGGCGAACGGGUGAGUAACACGUGAGUAACCUGCCCUUGACUUUGGGAUAACUUCAGGAAACUGGGGCUAAUACCGGAUAGGAGCUCCUGCUGCAUGGUGGGGGUUGGAAAGUUUCGGCGGUUGGGGAUGGACUCGCGGCUUAUCAGCUUGUUGGUGGGGUAGUGGCUUACCAAGGCUUUGACGGGUAGCCGGCCUGAGAGGGUGACCGGCCACAUUGGGACUGAGAUACGGCGCAGACUCCUACGGGAGGCAGCAGUGGGGAAUAUUGCACAAUGGGCGGGAGCCUGAUGCAGCAACGCCGCGUGCGGGAUGACGGCCUUCGGGUGGUAAACCGCUUUCGCCUGUGACGAAGCGUGAGUGACGGUAAUGGGUAAAGAAGCACCGGCUAACUACGUG